rnacentral:rRNA from 1 species
CCUACGGGUGGCAGCAGUGGGGAAUAUUGGACAAUGGGCGAAAGCCUGAUCCAGCCAUGCCGCGUGUGUGGAGAAGGCCUUCGGGUUGUAAAGCACUUUCAGUGGGGAAGAAAGCCUUGGGGCUAAUACCCUCGAGGAAGGACAUCACCCACAGAAGAAGCACCGGCUAACUCCGUGCCAGCAGCCGCGGUAAUACGGAGGGUGCGAGCGUUAAUCGGAAUUACUGGGCGUAAAGCGCGCGUAGGCGGUCUGAUAAGCCGGUUGUGAAAGCCCCGGGCUCAACCUGGGAACGGCAUCCGGAACUGUCAGGCUAGAGUACAGGAGAGGAAGGUAGAAUUCCCGGUGUAGCGGUGAAAUGCGUAGAGAUCGGGAGGAAUACCAGUGGCGAAGGCGGCCUUCUGGACUGACACUGACGCUGAGGUGCGAAAGCGUGGGUAGCAAACAGGAUUAGAUACCCGAGUAGUC